rnacentral:ribozyme from 1 species
UCAGUGGAAAGAUUAUGGACACCAUCAUGGAGGAUGUCGAUGUACCAGUUAUCACCCCCUUGAACAAAGACGAGGCCUAGAUAACAUGUUGUUAAUCCAGCGAUGGAGAAUAAACUUAAAUUUAUUUGUGCUAUA